GAUGAACGCUGGCGGCGUGCCUAAUACAUGCAAGUCGAGCGAACAGAUGAGGAGCUUGCUCCUCUGACGUUAGCGGCGGACGGGUGAGUAACACGUGGAUAACCUACCUAUAAGACUGGGAUAACUUCGGGAAACCGGAGCUAAUACCGGAUAAUAUAUUGAACCGCAUGGUUCAAUAGUGAAAGACGGUUUUGCUGUCACUUAUAGAUGGAUCCGCGCCGCAUUAGCUAGUUGGUAAGGUAACGGCUUACCAAGGCGACGAUGCGUAGCCGACCUGAGAGGGUGGUCGGCCACACUGGAACUGAGACACGGUCCAGACUCCGACGGGAGGCAGCAGUAGGGAAUCUUCCGCAAUGGGCGAAAGCCGGACGGAGCAACGCCGCGUGAGUGAUGAAGGUCUUCGGAUCGUAAAACUCUGUUAUUAGGGAAGAACAAAUGUGUAAGUAACUAUGCACGUCUUGACGGUACCUAAUCAGAAAGCCACGGCUAACUACGUG
rnacentral:rRNA from 1 species